GUGCUCGCUUUAGCAACACAUAUACUAAAAUUGGAAUGAUAAAAAGAUUAGCAUGGCCCCUGCACAAGGAAGACCCACAAAUUCGUGAAGUGGUCCAUAUUUUU
ensembl:snRNA U6 U6 spliceosomal RNA